AAGAAACUUCAACUAAAACUGUACAUAUAUUCCCACUUUUCUCAACACAGAUUUUUCUUCUCCAGCAGUAUUUUUCUUGCUCUCUAGACUCUACAUCAUGGACACUUCCACCAUAGCAAAAUCACUCAUCAUCAUUUUUCUAGUGCUGUUGUCUGAUCCAGUGUUACAAGCUGAGGGACAGGGAGGUUAUGGACCUUGCAUGACAAGAUGUGGGCAGAGAAUUAUGUCUUGUGGAAUUGAAUGUGCACCAAAAUUGGGGCUAGAUAUAGUUUCUUGCUAUCAAAGAUGUGGAACAAAUGGUAUUCAUUGUGUAACUUCUUGCUUGAGCACCUUUGGGAUUGGCAGAAUUCAACCAUCACCUCCCAACAACAACCACUAGGCUCAGAAUUUCUUUGUUGCCAAGACAGUGAUCCAUAUGUGAUCUUUAAUGCCCUUAGGCAUUAACUAUUAAUAAACCUCUUUAUACUUUGUUAAUUUCUUUAUUGUAUCCAUAUAAAAAUAAUUACACUUUGCAUGUGUGGAGCAUUAUACUAAUGCAUAGAACAAAAUUCACC
rnacentral:lncRNA from 1 species